CCCUGUAUCGAAAGUGCCGCCGGCGUGCCUGUCGCCGGUGACAUUGAUAGUACAGGAAGAAAAAAAAUGGGCGAGCCUUCCCCGUGUCUGCCGGAACGCAAUUUCCAGUCAGACCCUGGCGCUAGCGCACA